rnacentral:rRNA from 1 species
AUGCAACUGUGUGAGCUUUGGGGCAGAUUCUCACAAGUCCGCUCAACCCUUUGGUUGAUGAUGAUCAAUACAGCUCGAAGGUCCAUUUUCUACGGCAGACGACAGAAUUUCCUGGCACCAAUGAGGUGCUGGACGUCGGAUAGAUUGGCUCGCAGAGGAUUGCAACAUCAGCCGCAUUGCCUUAUAGUUCCAAGAGCCAGAACAAUCAGACACCCAAUGGUGCAAUGUUCUCUGUCCAGGGCAAUCUGGUUUGACACCUUGCAAGACGUCAGUCUCCAGCCUUGUCCCUCAACUGUGCCGUCUCAGGGGCUGUUUGCAUCGCUUACACAAAAAGCAGCCUGA